CACAAAACCUAAAAAAAUAUCUCUCAUUUUUUCCCUCUCUCAUUGUUGCAGACCUAUUUUCCUCCUCUCCUUCUCUAAUCUCUCUCUCUCUCUCGCCGUCACUCUCUCUCUCUCUCUAGCCUGAUGUAGGGAAUCUGGUAGACCCGAUUCUAGGGGAUUAACAUUUGCAUCAUAGUUAAUAUGAAGGGUCGAGAUGGGUCUACACCGUCAGGCCGUGGGACGGAUGGGCAAGGGCGAGGCGUGGACGAGGAUCAGAUGGCCAAGGCCGAGGGCGAGGUGGGCGAGUGUCAGAGGCGCCAACACCAUUAUCAGUUCCUCCUUCGCCAGCUUCGUCGUUAUUUGUUGUACGACUCCCUACAUCUCCUUCUAUAUCAUCCCCACAUGUAGCACCCUCCCUAUCAUAGUCACCCACAACAUCUCCGAUAACUUUUUAUGCGGCACGCCAAUCACAUCCUCGGCCUCGGUAGUAGAGUCAAGUGCUGCUGGGUAGUUACUUGAGCUCUAUUCUAGAAGGUAUACGUAUAUAAUUUAUGAUUUAUUUAUUCGGUGUUUGUUUAUUUUUAUUAUUAUGUAUAGUUUUUGUUUAAUUUUUUUUUGUUCAGUCUAAUGCUUGUUCAUCCACCAUAUCAAAGAUUUUUCUACAAAAAAUGGAUCCUGCUGGCCAUUCAUGGAAGACAGUGCCACCGGCUAUCAGAAAGUAUUAUUGGCAAGAGUUUCAGGUUUAAAUUAUUUUAACUAAUACUUGUAUUAUUAUUGUAUUUAUUAAAUCAUUUUAAAAAGACAUGGACCCAUUCUAUAGGGGGUAUAUAUUCAUUGUAUAGGAGAGAUUCUGCCGAAUUUUUAUUAGUUUUGUUUAUUAGUAACUAUUUCCACACUUUCGAGUAACUUUCGACUAAUAUUUUUUCUUCUAUUUUUUCAAUAACACUUUAUAUGGCAGUCACAUCUUAAGACCCAAAUUCGUAGGAGGUGGGAAUCGUAAGCAAGUAUCUAAUGCACCAAUAAUCUGUUGAGGUGCAGGAGAUCCGAUAAGAGACUGUUGGCUGUCCCGUAUAAUGUUUGGGACAGUUCGCAGAAAAAAUGGUCCAAGCCUGAGUUCAAAGCAAGUGUGUUACAACAUCGAAGAACUGGUUGAGCAAGACAAGCGGCCCUAUAUUUGGUCCUUCACGCCAUAUUAGAGAAUUAGGUUGAGAGCCAAAUUACAUUGAGCUUUUUGAGGCUACACACAUGAGCAAGAAGAAUAAAGACUGGUUGACAUAAGGUCUAAGGAAGUAGCUAUUGCUAUGAUGAGCUGAAAGAGAAAGCUAAUUAGACCUAGGACGGUUCGACAGAGACGUAAGAGUCAGACCUAAAGAAAUUGUUCUUACAAGCGUUUGGUGGAGAGAAGAAGUGUCGAGUGUACGACAUGGGUGCCAGAACUCCAGACUUCUACAACAGUUCCUCCUCCUCCACUGCUGCAUUUUUAGAUUUUAAUGUCUAGUGUAUGCGAGACGCUAGUUGCCAAGACUUGCAGCAUGAGCUGCAAUAUCAGAUGAGGAGCAGCGGGUAGCCAUGAAGGCAUAACGGGUUGCAAUGGAGUGGCAAAUGCAGGAGCAUAUGUAGAAGCAAAUGGACAUGCAACACCUCAUUGUAGAUAGCUUGCACCUCCAUAAGAUCCUUCUUCAUUAGCAUCUAAUCCUGACCAUUGAUUUAUUGACUAUCGACUAAUUUUAUUUUUUUCAUAGUUUUAUAAAUUCUAUAUACUUUAUGAUAUUAUAUUUUGUAAUCAAAUUUGUUUAUUGA